GCCUAGGUGGAUCAAGGCAGAUCAUCCCUCUGACAUUGAAUGAGUGGAGUCUCUCAUAUCCAAGGGAAAGCAGAGGUUCAACUCCUCUCUUGGGCU